GGAUUAGAUACCCUGGUAGUCCACGCCGUAAACGAUGUGUGCUAGUUGUCGGGAGUUCAGCUCUCGGUGACGGAGCGAAAGUUUUAAGCACACCGCCUGGGGAGUACGGCCGCAAGGUUAAAACUCAAAGGAAUUGACGGGGACCCGCACAAGCGGUGGAGCAUGUUGUUUAAUUCGAAGCAACGCGAAGAACCUUACCUACACUUGACAUCCUUCCUGGGGUUUUCAGAGAUGAUUACCUUCGGUUCGGCCGGGGAAGUGACAGGUGCUGCAUGGCUGUCGUCAGCUCGUGCCG
rnacentral:rRNA from 1 species